rnacentral:misc_RNA from 1 species
GUGAAUCAUCAAAUUUUUGAACGCAAAUUGCACUCUCUGGUAUUCCGGAGGGGAUGCCUGUUUGAGGGUCAUGUUAAAUAAAUAUCGGUGUGUGUGCUGCUCUUCGUGGUUAGGCAUUGGAUCUGGUUCGUCCUGUCGUGGUUUAAGUGACCCUAAAAUUUUCAUGACGAUUUUUGCGCGUAUUUAAAUGAUUUUAUGUACGUUG